GUGAGGAAUUUUCCGCAAUGGGCGAAAGCCUGACGGAGCAAUGCCGCGUGAAGGAUGAAGGCCUAUGGGUUGUAAACUUCUUUUCUCAGAAAAGAAUUAUGACGGUAUCUGAGGAAUAAGCAUCGGCUAACUCUGUGCCAGCAGCCGCGGUAAGACAGAGGAUGCAAGCGUUAUCCGGAAUGAUUGGGCGUAAAGCGUCUGUAGGUUGUUUAAAAAGUAUUCUGUCAAAGAUUAGGGCUUAACCCUAGAUAGGCAGAAUAAACUUUUAAGCUAGAUUUUGGUAGAGGCAGAGGGAAUUCCCGGUGCGGCGGUGAAAUGCGUAGAUAUCGGGAGGAACACCAAAGGCGAAGGCACUCUGCUGGGCCAAUACUAACACUGAGGGACGAAAGCGAGGGGAGCAAAUGGGAUUAGAUACCCUUGUAGUCC
rnacentral:rRNA from 1 species